rnacentral:lncRNA from 1 species
AGUAUUGGCUAUCCCUGCCAAUUUGGUGUUGUCUGCAAACUUGAUGCAACAGAUUGAGAAGCCACCAUCAUUGUGUUAAUCACACCACUGGUUGGGACCCUCACUCUGAAGACUGUGUUGAUUGGCUUUGCACCAACCUCCUCACAUUAAAAAAACUCAUGCACAGGCAUCUUCCAAGAUUUUGGAAGACCAUCAUACUGAAACAACGAGGGAUCGCCUGAGAAGUAGAAGCUUGUUUCAUCAUCCUUUCACAGGCACAUUUUUCUGGUAAAUCAUGGGAGCAGCUACCUUGUGCGAGUGCAGUGCUUUCAACAUCUUGGAGCUGUGAUUGAUAAGUUACAGGAGACUUUUGUCCCUAGUAAAAACUAUUCAGAACACCAUCAUACAGGUAUGUCAUAUCAGUACUAUUGUAGGCAUGACUGCAAUGCCAAAUGAUUGCCGCAGUAGUCUGCAUUCAUUGGCCACAAGUUCAUGAGAGGAAUUUGCAGUUGAUCUUACACUCAUUCCAAAGUAGAUAGAAUUAAAAUAUAUGCAUAUACCAAUUCCCAAACAGGUGA